rnacentral:rRNA from 1 species
AACGAACGCUGGCGGCAUGCCUAACACAUGCAAGUCGAACGAGACCUUCGGGUCUAGUGGCGCACGGGUGCGUAACGCGUGGGAAUCUGCCCCUCGGUUCGGAAUAACAGUUAGAAAUGACUGCUAAUACCGGAUGAUGACUUCGGUCCAAAGAUUUAUCGCCGAGGGAUGAGCCCGCGUAAGAUUAGGUAGUUGGUGGGGUAAAGGCCUAACAAGCCGAGUAUCUUUAGCUGGUCUGAGAGGAUGAUCAGCCACACUGGGACUGAGACACGGCCCAGACUCCUACGGGAGGCAGCAGUGGGGAAUAUUGGACAAUGGGCGAAAGCCUGAGCCAGCAAUGCCGCGUGAGUGAUGAAGGCCUUAGGGUUGUAAAGCUCUUUUACCAGGGAUGAUAAUGACAGUACCUGGAGAAUAAGCUCCGGCUAACUCCGUGCCAGCAGCCGCAGUAA